rnacentral:rRNA from 1 species
AACGUAGGAGGCGAGCGUUAUCCGGAAUUACUGGGCGUAAAGGGCAUGCAGGCGGCUUGGUAAGUUGGACGUGAAAGCUCCUGGCUUAACUGGGAGAGUGCGUUCGAAACUGCUGAGCUUGAGGCUGGGAGAGGGGUGUGGAAUUCCCGGUGUAGUGGUGGAAUGCGUAGAUAUCGGGAGGAACACCAGUGGCGGAAGCGGCACCCUAGACCAGACCUGACGCUGAUAUGCGAAAGCGUGGGGAGCAAACAGGAUUAGAUACCCUGGUAGUCCACGCCGUAAACGAUGUCAACUAGGUGUUGGUAGCUAUACGCUAUCGGUGCCGAAGCAAACGCGUUAAGUUGACCGCCUGGGGACUACGGCCGCAAGGCUAAA